AUUUAAGUAGCUUAAUUUUAAAGCUUAAUAUUGAAGAUAUUAGUAUAGAUUUAAAUCUCUUAAGUA
rnacentral:tRNA from 1 species